rnacentral:lncRNA from 1 species
GAUGGCUUGUGUUGUUUUUGGCAGGUGAGGAGGCAGGGAGUCGGUGAGAAGGACUCUUCUUUGGAAGACAAGACCAGGGAGUGAAGCUGGAAUAGCCCCCCCCCAAGCAAGAGAAGCUUCUCCACAAACAGGGGCAGCCAAGCGAGACCGAGCCCCCUGCAGCCCAAAGCAUCUUUCCAAGCAGGGCCCGUGGGGCCUGACAGCUCAGGGGCCCAGUCAGCGGCUCAGGCCGUGAACGUCUGAACUCCUCGGUGGGGGGGGCGGCCCCUCCCUCCCUGGAGGCCAGCCUGAGUGGCAGGAAUCCUGAUUCUUUGGAGAGCGGCUUCCUCUCAGCUCUGUCACGCAAGAACGCUCUCUGCACCAACCCAUUCUGCCAAGUGACUUAAAGGGAUUUAAAAAAGAAAAAAAAAAUGUGGUAAAGAAAAAGGGGGUAAAAGCCACGCAGCCGCCUUUCAGAGGAGGUGGCCGCCUGCAGACAAAGGGCAAAAGUUGAAAGAGGGCCGUGGAAGUGAUGGAAGUGACAGGCAGCCAGGCUGCUCCCCGGAUGGGCACCGGUCGGUAGGGCAUGCCCCAGGAGCAGGAGGUCAGAACGCCCGCAGGCCCCGCCCGGGAGCCCCCCAGGCCGCGGGGCUGCCCCUGUGCACUCCGAGUGCACGACCCUUGCUGCAGGAGGAGCCAGCGGCGCCCCAGGUGGAGGACCACAAGGAUGCUGCCUGGGACCUGCAGCCUUGCCUGAACUGGGCAGGGGAGCCCGGAAGUCAGAGGCACAGGGUCCCUCUCCGCGUCCCCACGUGCCGCAGCAGCACUGCCCACCACCCAGGUCUGCAGGCUAUAACCAGAGCGGGCUUGGCCUGUCGGGGCCCUGGGGCAGGAAUGUGAGAGCAGCCCGCUGCCCAGCCCUCAGGAGCCCCUGGAGCAAGACCCCAGUCGUACCACAGGCUCCAGUGACAGCCGUGAAGGAGGUAAGACGGAGGGAGGUGGAGGUGGAAGGGCCCAGGAUGGCCCUCAGAGGUGCCCAAGGGUUCCUCAUGCCUAGAGAGGGCACAAGACAGCUGGGCCCCCUCCUCUAAAGGCCCCCGUCCUGACCAGGUCACACAGGGCAUCUCAGCAGAGCACCCGGGUCUGGGGCU